GACGAACGCUGGCGGCGUGCUUAACACAUGCAAGUCGAACGAAGAGCGAUGGAAGCUUGCUUCUAUCAAUCUUAGUGGCGAACGGGUGAGUAACGCGUAAUCAACCUGCCCUUCAGAGGGGGACAACAGUUGGAAACGACUGCUAAUACCGCAUACGAUCUAAUCUCGGCAUCGAGGAUAGAUGAAAGGUGGCCUCUACAUGUAAGCUAUCACUGAAGGAGGGGAUUGCGUCUGAUUAGCUAGUUGGAGGGGUAACGGCCCACCAAGGCGAUGAUCAGUAGCCAGUCUGAGAGGAUGAACGGCCACAUUGGGACUGAGACACGGCCCAGACUCCUACGGGAGGCAGCAGUGGGGAAUCUUCCGCAAUAGACGAAAGUCUGACGGAGCAACGCCGCGUGAGUGAUGACGGCCUUCGGGUUGUAAAGCUCUGUUAAUCGGGACGAAAGGCCUUCUUGCGAAUAGUGAGAAGGAUUGACGGUACCGGAAUAGAAAGCCACGGCUAACUACGUG
rnacentral:rRNA from 1 species